UGUCAAGAAAAAUCUUUAUUAUAUUAACAAACAAUAAUUUUCACCUCUGUAUGGGCAAUUUUGGUGCUUGCGCAAGGGAUAGUCUAAUCUGCAAGACUUGUUCUUCAGCCACACCUUUGCUGUUCAGGAAAUUUCUUCAUCUGGCUUAUGUGAUUCGGGUGGAAUUCAGUGGCACCAACUGAUGAAUUACACCAGAGAUUUCCAUACAUUUGGCCAUCUACAAUCUUGUUUUGUUGUUGCCUGUGACAGACCUCUGUUCUGAUGCCACCAGUCUUACUGGAUGCUGAGUGUUCUCCAUCCAUGGCAGGAAAGAAGCUCUAUUCCUUCCUCUUUGUAGAAUAGAUUAAAGCAAGAUUUCAUGACUCAUUAGCAACAUAGACUAGUGGUAGUUCUUAGAGGAAGGAGGUCACUUAGCACCUACCUAUUCAUGAACUAAGUUGCAAAGUGAAACCAUUAUAAAAUGUGUUUUGCCAUGACCUAAUUGAGUCUAGUAAACACCUUUAUAUAAAUCUAUUCACCAGUAAUGUGGUGAUUCACCUAUCUAAAAUUCACAUGAAAAGGACACAGUGGACCUGAGGAGCACCAUCUAACAACCAAGAACAUUGUUGUUUAGUGAAACCAGUGAUUCAGAUUCAGAAUGACCUUUUGGAUCAGUCCAACUUCCUUUUCUUCCACAUCAGAAGUGCAUGUGCAUGGACUUUGAAUCUAAGCCUUGACUGUCAAAGAGAGAGUGUGGCAUUAAGAAAUGCAAGAAAGCUCAUCUUGUCUGCAAGUUCUUGCAAGCCUUUUUCUCUCUUUCCCUCUCUUUGCUUCUUUCUUUGGCAGGACCUAUGAGACAUCAGAUCAUGCAAGUUAUCCUUUCUUUAAUGUUCCUCUGCUGUGCAAGGAUGCCUCCAGUAAGCUCCUCUGCAACUUCCUACUGUUCUUUCAGUCAUCUGGCUGCUAUUCCUUCUUCUAUCUGUUUGAUGCAGGCCAUGGCCAUUUUCUUGGAUUUCUUAGCUGACUGCGAUGGUCAUUCUCUGCUCAUUGAAGCACAGGGACUAGCAAUGAAGUUUCUUGGAAGAUUUGUUUGCAGAAUGUAUUGUUUCUUUAAUCUAAAUUGAGCUGAUUCAAUGGACAUCAGCAAGCAUUUUGUUGCCCAGAAAACGAACGAGUGACCUCUCAAGUCAUCCAUGAAUUCCUUUCACCUAUGAAAUCACUGAACGCAUGUCCAUAGGAUACAGUGCUGCCUUACGAUUCGUGCAUCUGACAUGAUUAAAGGGAAUCUAAUCAGACGGUCUGCAGCUCAACGGUCUACAUAGACAUAGCAUGGGUCAAUUUCUGGCCUUCGGUCUUUUAAUUGGGCCGUAAACGGGCUGAUGUUGAUCCACUUGGCCUCUCGAGCGGGAAGAGUCGAGAAGGGUCGAGAAGCCUCUCGAGCCGAGCGUGCGAAUAGUCUGCGCGCCAUUCGCUUCGCUAUAGCGGACUUCCUCUCCGGAGAAAGAUUGUGAAGCUCUUCUCCGGAGUCGAAGGAUUCGGGAGAGAGAGAGAGGGGAAGGAAAGAAAGAAAGGGUUCGCAGAUCGAUUCGCGGUUACUCUCACCAGGUUCGAUCAUUUCCAUGCUCCGCCCUGAAUGUUCCUUUUUCGUAUCGCGCUUCUUGAAAUUUUCGUUCCUUAUGAUGUGAAACCUAAUGGGGUAGGGUUAUGUUUGAGUUCCUUUUGUUCGUUCUGAUCUGGGAGGGGGUUGCGGAAUCGGCUUAUGGGGUGAACCAGAGUUCGUGGGGCGAGGGAAAUGGGGUAAAAUGGGAGCGGAAGCUGCUCUCUCAUGGGAGGAUUGAGCAGAGAUUACUAGACUCGUCGUUUCCCGCUUCUUCGCAGCCAUCAGACAACGCAGGAAGAACACUUGUGGUGUGUAGGAUAACGCAGGAUGGACUCCUAUGGAUAUCAACGCAGCUGAUGUUGGAAAACAGGAUGGAGAUGAAAAUAAGAGUCUGCAGACUGAUAAAUGGAGAAAUCAGUUCCCAUGGCCAAUAAUCUGGAUUCCUGGUGAUCAUAAAUCAGAAGAUGCAGUAAAAGAUAUGGUGGUGAGAAAAUUUGAUCAAAAUGUUGAAGAAAAAUCACCCUCAAAGUUAAAAACCAUUCCAUUAAAACUUCUUGAGGAUAGCACUGUGGUGAAUUACUAAGAAAUGUGGAGGACAAGCGCAAAACUCUUGGGCAUCGAGAAGCAUUAGCUGAGAAAGAAAGAAGAACUAAGAUCAUCCCUGUUAGGCAUAUAGAAGAGGACAUGGAUGAGAAGCACAAAAUUAAGGAGAAGGACAAUUCCCUUAGAAUACCUAAAAAACAAGAGAAUGGAGUUAACAAGUCAUCAGAUAGCAAACAAUUGUCACAGAUCAAGACAUUAAAGUUACCUUCUAUAUGUUGAGAGUGGAUCCACUGCCAAGGAAGAAGAUGGUAAAUGGCACAUCGAGGUCUCCUAGUCCACCAGUCCUUAAGGUCAAUGAGAAAGCCAACAAGGACAAAACAGAAAGAGAACAGCAAACAGUAAAAGAUAAGAAGGAACAGAUACCUAAAAAAGAGAUUCAGGCAGCAGAACCUUAUGUUAAAUUGUCAAAUGAAGCAGAAAAUUCAAAAAAGAAAAGUCAGGCAAUGAUGACAACUAAUCUAAAUGAAGAAACUGCUAAGAUUAUGAAUGAUCAACAGUCCAACAAAGGAGCAGGACUCAAGGUUAUGAAGGUCAAGACAGUAGAGAUACUAGAAGGAGGAGGAUCAACAACCAAUUGAUAAAGCACCACGUGAACUCGACGAGGGGAAGAGGCAUAUGGAGAGCACAGAAAGCAUAAUUACUGAUGGAAAGAAGGCAACGAAAAUUUUGUCACAGGAAGAUGCAGCAGUUCUUAUUCAAUCUGCUUAUAAAGGAUUUGAGGUGAGAAGAUCACAACCUCUUGAGAAGCUACGAAAAGUACAUCAAAUUCGUCAACAAAUUGAGGUGGCGAAGAACAAAAUUCAAAUGUUUGAAUCCUCCUCCACAGACCAAGAUUUGAAACACAAGGUUGCAGCAAGUGAGACCAUAAUGAAUCUUAUGUUGCAGCUGGAUACCAUUCAGGCGUUGCGCCAAAGUGUCGGAGACCUGAGAAAGUCAGUUGCUAGGGAGCUAACCAUUCUUCAAGAAAAGCUUGAUUCGCUAGGCAGUCCAGUCGCCGUGGGACACGAAAAGAUGAAACUUAAACACCCCAGUCACACAGUUUCUGAUUGUGGAGCUACCUCUGCGACUGACCCAUCUGUUACUACCCAUUUGGUGCCGGAAAAUGUCAUCACAAUCAGCUGAGGCAACUUGUUCGUUGGAGAUAACAUCUGCGGAUGGAAAGGAAGCAACUAUCCAACGACAGAGAGAUCUAAAACUGUUAGUGACUGAAUCUCGAGAUUUUGCAACUGGAUCAAAUAAUUUCAAAUCAUCGAACAGCAUAAAGAAAUAGCUUUUAUGAAAGAGCAAUUUGCUUCUGCGGUGAGGGACGCAAUUGAAUCACAUGCUGUGGGGAAAGAACAAUCCUUUGGAUUGGAAGAUGCAAUAAAGAUUGUAGCAUCUACUUCUCAAGAAGUCUUAGAGGCGGCACCCUCUACCUCUGUAGAUGAGGUGGCAAAACUUGAGACAGACAAGCAUCUAGAAUGUCAAGGGACCAACUCUUUUCUCAAACAGGUGAGAGAUGAGCUGUCCGGUUCUAAAGCUGGAAUUAGUGAGAAGAUUGAUGUUGAAUUGGAGAAACCAAUAAUGCACUUGGUAGAGGGAGAAGCUACCAAAGUGGCAUCUGAGGAAUCAAAGCUUUCUUUUAGAACAACUAACCCUGAAUCAGUGUGGCGUGUAGAACGCACAGCCGCAGUCUGCAUCAAGGAAACUGUUUCACAGGGUGAUGAAGUUGAUACCAAGCUGGAGGAUCUUCAGGUGCCUGAAUUGCAAAACCCGGACCUUGUUGAGAAGACAGUGGGAGAUACAGAUGACCUCCGCAUAGUCACAGAAGUUCCAUGCUUUGAACAUGCUGUCCCCAUCACUGGUGUCACCGACAAUGGAAACGCUCAAAUGCCUAGUUGGCAACUUAGAAAAGCAGGCAGCAGAUACUGACAGGAUGGGUACACACUCCUUAUGGUUCCAACUUACAACGAAGGUCAUUCACUGGGAGCUUUUGAACCUGGCCAAGAGAAUGGAAUCAGUCCAAUGCUGUUGCCUGAUGCCAUCAGUAUUAUUAAAAAUGAAGACAUUUCUUCGGAUUAAACAUUUCGAGCAAACAUUGAUGUAGAAGGGACAGAUGGGUCUGGCUGGAUCAGAUCCAAGGCUGCUUCCUGAUGCAGCAAAUAUAAAAAAAGAUGAAUGUAUCUAUCUCUACGGCUGAUACAUUCGAAACCAAUGUCAAUGAAGUUGAUGGUGCAGCUUCAGAUCAAGAAAGCAUGUCUUUUAGCAGACCCGACUCUCUAGCUCGAGGUAAGGCAGAAGGUUUGGCUCAUUCGGCAAAGCUGAAUGGUAUUGCUCCUGAUGUCCGUUAAAGCAAGGAAGAGAAUGAAAAGUUAACAGAAAUGUUAGAGAGGCUGCUUGAGGCACUGCUGGGAGUCAUUGCCGAUGUUAAUGGAAGAGUCAAAGGACUUGGAGAGAAAACUCUCGCAAAAGAAAAGGUGCAAGAUAAAAAGUUUCAGACCAAAAAUGAACCCUCCUCCCAUAAAAGCUGCAUCAUCCGCUAAUAAUGUGAAAGUUGCAGCUUAAGAUAUCUGUAUACAUAUGCAGCAUACGAUAAGUAUAAAAUGAAGUGGUUCCCACCCCCACCUUUUUUUUUUUGCUUCAUCUUUGUAUGUACCAAAUGGAUUGAAGAAUGUGCAUGCUUUUCUAUUGUAACACCGUGGUGUUUCUUCUCUAGUAUCCUUUGGGAAUGUCCAUGCUUUUGUUUGUAA